UACCCGCGGCAAGACGGAAAGACCCCGUGAACCUUUACUAUAGCUUGACACUGAACACUGGUCCUUGAUGUGUAGGAUAGGUGGGAGGCUUUGAAGCGUGGACGCCAGUCUGCGUGGAGCCGUCCUUGAAAUACCACCCUUUAAUGGCUGGUGUUCUAACGUAGACCCGUGAUCCGGGUUGCGGACAGUGUCUGGUGGGUAGUUUGACUGGGGCGGUCUCCUCCCAAAGAGUAACGGAGGAGCACGAAG
rnacentral:rRNA from 1 species